UUCCCAGACUCCUACGGGAGGCAGCAGUGGGGGAUAUUGCACAAUGGGGGCAACCCUGAUGCAGCGACGCCGCGUGAGCGAUGGAGUACUUCGGUAUGUAAAGCUCUGUCAGCAGGGAAGAGAAUGACGGUACCUGACCAAGAAGCCCCGGCUAAAUACGUGCCAGCAGCCGCGGUAAUACGUAUGGGGCAAGCGUUAUCCGGAUUUACUGGGUGUAAAGGGCGUGCAGCCGGGCCGACAAGUCAGAUGUGAAAUCCGCGGGCUUAACCCGCGAACUGCAUUUGAAACUAUUGGUCUUGAGUACCGGAGAGGUCAUCGGAAUUCCUUGUGUAGCGGUGAAAUGCGUAGAUAUAAGGAAGAACACCAGUGGCGAAGGCGGAUGACUGGACGGCAACUGACGGUGAGGCGCGAAAGCGUGGGGAGCAAACAGGAUUAGAUACCCUGGUAA
rnacentral:rRNA from 1 species